rnacentral:rRNA from 1 species
AUGGAGAGUAAGAAGAAAAACCAGUGCCUAUUCAGUUCCAAGUGGACUCGCCACGCGUUGACUGAAAAACAGCUCAUCUGCCAAGAUAGUAAGCUGAUACAUAUUAAAAUUGUUUGUGAUAAACUGAACCAGAUCCAUAACAGAGUAACUGAAAAUUUUCAGAUCCAUAGCAUUUUUAGAGAAAUAAAGCAUCACAUAACAGAGAAGAGCUUGUCAGACCAAACUAAUAGAUAUAACCAACUAGGCAGGCACAUGAGAAUGGCAGAAGAUAAUUUUUCCUGGGAUGCAACAUACCACAUACGGGAUCUUUCCUUGAGAGGAGGAAGAGGAGGGCGAUGUCUUGGUCCUUCCUGA